ACUUUGAAGCAUUGCAGGUAUGAUCGUUGUGUCACAUGUGUAUCAGUAGAGAAGGGAGAGGCUAUGUCUACACUCAGUAUUCUGACCUAUUAACAUCUGAAUGACUAGUAGCCAAGAAUU
ensembl:snoRNA Gm25278 predicted gene, 25278